GCCUAAUUGCCCAGCAACAGGUCUCCUAUUUGGGACACGUUAUUUCGGCAGAGGGGGUUGCAGUAGAACAAAGUAAAAUUGCUGCAAUGAAAGAGUGGCCAAAACCGAGUACAGUGAAGGGAUUACAUGGAUUUUUGGGGCUCACCGGGUAUUAUCAAAAAUUUGUGCAGAACUAUGGCACCAUUGCAACUCCUUUGACAACCAUGUUACGUAAGAACUCU
rnacentral:misc_RNA from 1 species